UACGUAGGUGACCAGCGUUGUCCGGAUUUACUGGGCGUAAAGAGCGCGCAGGCGGUCGUUCAAGUCGAGUGUGAAAGCCCCCGGCUCAACUGGGGAGGGUCACUCGAUACUGAUCGACUUGAAGGCAGGAGAGGGAAGCGGAAUUCCCGGUGUAGUGGUGAAAUGCGUAGAUAUCGGGAGGAACACCAGUGGCGAAGGCGGCUUCCUGGCCUGUUCUUGACACUGAGGCGCGAAAGCUAGGGGAGCAAACGGG
rnacentral:rRNA from 1 species